AGUGAACGCUGGCGGUAGGCCUAACACAUGCAAGUCGAACGGCAGCACAGUAAGAGCUUGCUCUUACGGGUGGCGAGUGGCGGACGGGUGAGGAAUACAUCGGAAUCUACUUUUUCGUGGGGGAUAACGUAGGAAAACUUACGCUAAUACCGCAUACGACCUACGGGUGAAAGCAGGGGAUCUUCGGACCUUGCGCGAUUGAAUGAGCCGAUGUCGGAUUAGCUAGUUGGCGGGGUAAAGGCCCACCAAGGCGACGAUCCGUAGCUGGUCUGAGAGGAUGAUCAGCCACACUGGAACUGAGACACGGUCCAGACUCCUACGGGAGGCAGCAGUGGGGAAUAUUGGACAAUGGGCGCAAGCCUGAUCCAGCCAUACCGCGUGGGUGAAGAAGGCCUUCGGGUUGUAAAGCCCUUUUGUUGGGAAAGAAAAGCAGCAGGUUAAUACCCCGCUGUUCUGACGGUACCCAAAGAAUAAGCACCGGCUAACUUCGU
rnacentral:rRNA from 1 species